rnacentral:rRNA from 1 species
GUGCCAGCAGCCGCGGUAAUUCCAGCUCCAAUAGCGUAUAUUAAAGUUGUUGUGGUUAAAAAGCUCGUAGUUGAACCUUGGGCCUGGCUGGCCGGUCCGCCUCACCGCGUGCACUGGUCCGGCCGGGCCUUUCCCUCUGUGGAACCCCAUACCCUUCACUGGGCGUGGCGGGGAAACAGGACAUUUACUUUGAAAAAAUUAGAGUGCUCCAGGCAGGCCUAUGCUCGAAUACAUUAGCAUGGAAUAAUAAAAUAGGACGCGCGGUUCUAUUUUGUUGGUUUAUAGGACCGCCGUAAUGAUUAAUAGGGACAGUCGGGGGCAUCAGUAUUCAACUGUCAGAGGUGAAAUUCUUGGAUCAGUUGAAGACUAACUACUGCGAAAGCAUUUGCCAAGGAUGUUUUCAUUAAUCAGGAACGAAAGUUAGGGGAUCGAAGACGAUCAGAUACCGUCGUAGUCUUAACCAUAAACUAUGCCGACUAGGGAUCGGACGGUGUUAUUCAUGACCCGUUCGGCACCUUACGAGAAAUCAAAGUGCUUGGGCUCCAGGGGGAGUAUGGUCGCAAGGCUGAAACUUAAAGAAAUUGACGGAAGGGCACCACCAGGGGUGGAGCCUGCGGCUUAAUUUGACUCAACACGGGGAAACUCACCAGGUCCAGACACAAUAAGGAUUGACAGAUUGAGAGCUCUUUCUUGAUUUGUGGUGGUGUGCAUGGCCGUCUAGUGUGGGUGACUGUCUGCUUAAUGCGAUAACGAACGAGACUAACCUGCUAAAUAGCCCGCAUGCUCCGGCAGUGCGCUGGCUUCUUAGAGGACUUCGGCUUCAAGCCG